rnacentral:rRNA from 1 species
GAUUUCUGGUUCGACAUGCCCGACCUAGUGUGGCGACACAUUAAGUGUCGGUGUGUGUCUGCCAUCUUUGCCAGAGAACGGCGCCUCCCUUAAAUGGGCCGGCGUCGCCAUCUGGAUCAUUUACUUUGAAAAAAUUAGAGUGUUUAAAGCAGGCUUGCGCUAUGAAUACAUUAGCAUGGAAUAAUAAUUUAGGACUUUGCUUCUAUUUUAUUGGUUUCUAGGAGUAAAGUAAUGAUUGAUAGGGAUAGUUGGGGGUGCUAGUAUUCAUCGGCCAGAGGUGAAAUUCUUGGAUUCGAUGAAGACUAACUAAUGCGAAAGCAUU